UGAGGAAUAUUGGACAAUGGGCGCAAGCCUGAUCCAGCCAUGCCGCGUGCAGGAAGAAGCAUCUAUGGUGUGUAAACUGCUUUUGUACGGGAAGAAACACUCCUUUGUGAAGGAGCUUGACGGUACCGUAAGAAUAAGGAUCGGCUAACUCCGUGCCAGCAGCCGCGGUAAUACGGAGGAUCCAAGCGUUAUCCGGAAUCAUUGGGUUGAAAGGGUCCGUAGGCGGUUUAGUAAGUCAGUGGUGAAAGCCCAUCGCUCAACGAUGGAACGGCCAUUGAUACUGCUAGACUUGAAUUACAAGGAAGUAACUAGAAUAUGUAGUGUAGCGGUGAAAUGCUUAGAUAUUACAUGGAAUACCAAUUGCGAAGGCAGGUUACUACUUGUGGAUUGACGCUGAUGGACGAAAGCGUGGGGAGCGAACA
rnacentral:rRNA from 1 species